rnacentral:rRNA from 1 species
UUCCAGACUCCUACGGGAGGCAGCAGUGGGGAAUAUUGGGCAAUGGAGGCAACUCUUACCCAGCAAUGCCGCGUGAAUGAAGAAGGUCUUCGGAUUGUAAAGUUCUUUAAUUGGGGACGAAAAAAAUGACGGUACCCAAGGAAUAAGCCCCGGCUAACUACGUGCCAGCAGCCGCGGUAAUACGUAGGGGGCAAGCGUUGUCCGGAUUUACUGGGUGUAAAGGGCGUGUAGCCGGGCUGACAAGUCAGAUGUGAAAUCCGGGGGCUCAACCCCCGAACUGCAUUUGAAACUGUUGGUCUUGAGUAUCGGAGAGGCAGGCGGAAUUCCUAGUGUAGCGGUGAAAUGCGUAGAUAUUAGGAGGAACACCAGUGGCGAAGGCGGCCUGCUGGACGACAACUGACGGUGAGGCGCGAAAGCGUGGGGAGCAAGCAGGAUUAGAUACCCGGGUA